rnacentral:lncRNA from 1 species
CUGAUGCAUAUUUACUGAUGUCUGACUCAUGAAGAAUUACAGACUGUCCCUCUUUUCUUAAAUCCCUGAGUGGAGGAGCAGCCUGUAUUGAUAGGAUGUUCUUGGAAUGAGUCCAAGCUAAUGCAUUUACAGAUUAUGAGGAUCCAUAAAAAUUUGUCAUCAUUUUGGAAAAAUUGCCAAAUAAACAGACCAGAGAAUAAAGCCUCUAUUCAAACUUUUCAAUAGAAAAUCUGGCAAAUGCAGCGAAAGG